rnacentral:rRNA from 1 species
UACGUAGGGUGCGAGCGUUGUCCGGAAUUAUUGGGCAUAAAGGGCUCGUAGGCGGUUUGUCGCGUCGGGAGUGAAAACUCAGGGCUUAACCCUGAGCCUGCUUCCGAUACGGGCAGACUAGAGGUAUGCAGGGGAGAAUGGAAUUCCUGGUGUAGCGGUGAAAUGCGCAGAUAUCAGGAGGAACACCGGUGGCGAAGGCGGUUCUCUGGGCAUUACCUGACGCUGAGGAGCGAAAGUGUGGGGAGCGAACAGG